GAAAUCGGCAGGGACCGAUUCAACCCCCGAUCCCGCGAACGCUCAUCAGGAUUAACCCAAUGGGUUCUGCUUUCUGAACUGCGAGCAGAUCAGUUGAACACGAAAUCGCUAACGAGAUGAGCUUCUCAUCGUGGGGCUUCGUCAAUCUCUGCCAUGGAAGAAGAACAAGUCACAAGCAGUUACGGUUCCCAUUGGUCGCAAGGAAACUUAUGGCACUGAAGCCCUGACAGAAGACGAAGAGUUUGGAGUGACGGAGCAGUUGAAGAAUUUCGUCAAAGUCCUUCACGAUUGAUACCUUCAAGAAUUUCCCCUCGAAGACAGAUGAUCAGGGAACGGUUGAAAUCGCUGGCGAUUCAGCACCCACAGCCUCUUCUGAUGUCCGGAAUGAUCUGUUGACAUGGCGGGAGCAGCAUGCGAUGCUCAUUCUCCGCAGAGUCAAGGUUAAGAUAACACCUGUUCUUCCUUAUAAUCAAUCCUUGUUCCCUUUUCUUUGAUUGAGUGAUUGAGCAUGCAAUCUGUUGGAUUGGACUAUAAGGAAUAGAACUCAUGUUGUACCUUGAGAAUCCGAGUUUCUCUUUGGACUUUUAUUUUGCGGUUUUGUAGGGAAUGGAACUGGUGAAUAUAUCCAGGUCGGUUACCUAUGGCUAUUCCUUGCA